CUCAAAACUGCAUUGUACUGCCAAUUUUGUGAUACUACAGGAGAUAAACCAUUCAGAAGAGAAGAGAGAUUUUAUGGAAGAGGAGGAAAGGAGGAGGGGUUAGCAGAGGGACCAAAACAAAGCAGCAUUGGCAUUUGUUGUCCUGAUUGUAAACUAGGUACAGGUGUGCAGCGAGAACAUGUGGGAUCGGAUUGGUUAACAGCACAUGGGCGAUGUGUUUUAAGGGAGAAGACUUUUAGCAUUGGGAUGAUGUGUGGGUGAGACGUAAUUUGCUGUGUGCACUGGAUUAUCGAUCGGAAAGGAGUACCGUCUGGAUAACGUUGCCUUGGAGACGCAAGUGAGAGCUCGUAACGAGGAGUUGACAGCGGCUACGAGCGAAUUGGAAAGAGGGUUGCGUUGGGCUGUGGACGACCGGUCGGAGGAGACCGUGAGAGAGAUCGCUUGGGCUACGGACAGUUAAGUAACGUUAAACACUUACUCAAUGUGAUUGGUUGGAUAAAAGAACACGGGAACGACCUGCUAGCCCCACUGAACUACUUAAGUGAUCAUUAUACUGAUUGUGUAUCAUUGCUGCUUCACCUGUGUGUAGCUAACGACCCGCUAGCCCCACUGAACUACUCUAGUGAUCAUUACACUGAACGUGCAUCAAUGCUGCUUUGCCUGUGUGUAGCCAACGACCUGCUAACCCCACUGAACUACUCUAGUGGCCUUCCUUGCUUUAUCGAACUGAUUUCACCCUCUAGUCUGCCCUACCCCUCGUGUGGAUCUGACUGGGUAGCGUACCCUAGUCUAAUUGCCGCCUGCCUGCAACUGUCCUGAGUCAACUGCCUACUGAUUGUUGGUGUGAACAUCAUAGCCUCACUUGAACUUGGUGUUGUGGUGUACUUCUGGAGUGUGUACCACGAUUGCAGUGGAUUUUCCCAGGUCUCGUUGACGCGGCUGUGUUGGCCCAAGCAGCUCGUUAAAGGUUGGGGAGCGAGUCAGGAGGAUCUUAUCACCAGUUUACCUGUUGGGGGGUUUCCGGUGCCUGAGUAGCUGUACCCUUGAGUGGGGGAGUGUGGGGAUAUCUUCGACAAAAGCCAGGCCCAGACAUAUCGUGUGGCAAAAGACAACUGCCUUGUUUUUAGACUCUUAAUUGUGAAUUUCAAUAAAUUAUUGGUUUUAUCUUAUUCUGUGGGCCUCUGAACUUUAUUGGUGGGUGUGGUCUGCUCCUCAGGGUAGUAAGUUGUGGUGGUCGCUUGAUAGCGGUCCGCCGGGGUCACAUUUGGCAUAUUCGGCAGGAUUCUGCCCUGAGUGGAGCAAUUACCCUGCCAAUAUGGUAGAUGAGGCGCCAGCGCGUCGGCCAGCAGCAAUGCCUUUCUUUAUGGGUGCCCCAUGGGCACCUAGGUUUGGGGGCCUGGAGUCUGAGUUGCAAUUGGGGGAGUGGAUGUCGCAGACCAAGUACCUUGCGAGCUUACCGGGCCUGAGUGAACAACAAGAAGUCCUAUUCGUGUUGGGAUCCUUAGAAGGAGAAGCAAAAAGGGAGGUGCUAGCAGUCGCUAGGCGAGCGUAACACAGCUGGAAAGAUUUUUGACCUCCUUUGUCAGAGAGCUGUUUACGAGGCUGAGAGACCGGGAUGAUUCAGGUUUGGCUGAAGGCGACCACCUGGUGCGUGACCAGUUCAUUGUGGGGUUGCGGGAUGGUUCCAUCCGACAGACCUUGAAGCUACAGUUACGCCAUGAUCCAACCUUGACUUUUGAAGCCGUGAGGAAGGAGGCUUUGGCAGUGGAGGUAGACCAGCUGGAGCCUGGGGAGACGGUUGCUGACUGCAGGGCUGUGGGUUCCAUGGCCCCGAAUCCAGUACUAGUGGCUGAUUGGAAGAGAGAACUACGGGAGGAAAUAAUGAAGGAUGUAAAGGAGCAGAUGAGUGAGCUGUCAAAAACCCUCUUGGCAGAACUUCGUGAUAACCGCCACCUUGGACCUCCUUUGCCUCGAGAGAGGUCACACUCUGAUGGAGGCCCCAGCCGGCCCAACCAUCUAACUCCAAAUUUCACUGGGAUGCCCAAGGCCAACCCAUUUUUAAUCGCUGUAGGCUUGCUGGACACAACAGCCGCCAUUGCACCUCACGUCGUUCCUCUCAAAUGCAUUUUUAGAGCGCCCGGCCACUGUGAAGCAAGUGUCCGGGGAGCCAUCAGAUCAAGCCAGGUUCCAUCCUAGAAAUGCCCUAAUUGGGCAGUGCCCCAUAGUUAAGAAUAGAGUCUGAAUUAACUCAGUAGUUUAACUUUCUCCCAUCUUCGAAGCUGCAGCCUGGGGUUACUCAUAGUAAACGACUCCCAAACAAUCGAAUUACACGGCCGAGCAAGAUUUUUAACAAAUCAAAUGAAAGAAAUCAAGUUUUUGUUAAUACGAACGUGAAUUGCAGCCAAUCACAUUACAGAACUAAGUAGAAUUCCAACCAAUUAAAUUAAAGAAGGUGGGAAUCUCUGUUCACUAAGUUUGAGCGUUUGUAUAGUGCUUAACACAUGAAUGCAUACUGUUUCAAAGCAUUACAGAAAAUGCAUACCGGCAGUUAGCAAAUCUAAAUAUGCAAACUACUUAACUUUAAAUUUUAAAUGACAUUUAGAUUAUUUGUCAUGUAACAUUCUUGUAGUGACUGUCAGUCAAGCAAAUAAACAAUAAAUGUUUAUGUAUACUGUAAUAAAAAGUAUGAAUGUGUGUAAAUUGUGGAUUAAAUUAAAAAGGAUUCAGAAGGCGGCGAGCUGUCAUCACAAGUAAUGAAAUGACAUUUAGGGCUAAGUUUGUGUUAAUACGAUUUAAAAAAUCUUAUUAAAGCUACCGUUUUUUAGUUAGA